AGCCGCUGCCUCCAUGACACCCAUAUAGCAGGAUAUAGGAAAAUAUGGAUACAUUUCAACCAUUUCGUAUCAGGAAAAAGAAAGUAAUGGCCUUACCUAAAUAUGCAAAAAAGGCACAAUCAUGCGACCCUCCGUCUCACAACUCAAAGCAGAAUGAAUGAAUUUUGUAAUUUUCGCAAUACCUGAUGAUAAACAGCACACGUCAAAGGAUGAGGUUUAUGAUUCUAAGUCAACCAACAAAAAAAAUAUACAAACAAAGGGAAUAAGAAAGAAAUGCUUAUGUCCGUUUUGAAUCAAAAUCCGAAAUUGUGUAAAUAACAAAAUAAAGAAAAGAAAAGAAAAAUCAAGCUCUUUUCUCUUCAAAACUACAAAGGCGUUUUUUUUUUAAGAAAUCUACUGCUUCCAACUGGUUAGAGACUUUAAGUAAACAAUUCUCGUCUUUUUACAUACGAGGAAAUAGAAAGCAAAUUAUUCUUCGUUCCUGUCCCUAUGGCAAAGAUUCAAUGUAAAACAAUGAAUUUGGUUAAGAGAAGAAGAGAGUCAAACAAGAGGUUAAUGGUAAAUAGACGGAUCUUAAGUUUUGGCGUAGUUCCGGUCCUAUACGGAUUAUGAAGUCGUUCCACAGUGGGUCGAGCUGUACUAAUUGGAUAAGGCAGUUUAAAAAAAAGCCGAAUCGAGGUAACAACCUCGGUACCACUGAGUGAGCUUCGAUACCGCGAUACGAGGCAAUGCAAUUCUUGAAUUAUUGUUUGGGGCAAUUAAUCUGUCUAAUUAUGUGUUGUAUUCAUUAAAACACUUGUAAACGGCUAGCUAUUGACAUUCCCAACUGAACGGUGUUAUGUUUUGGACGAAAUAAAAAAGGAUGUUUAAAUUGUCGCAUAUAAACAAUGAAGAUGCAAAACACAAGUAUAGGUGAAUGAUGAACAAAAGACUGCUUUGUUUGCUUUCAAAGCUCCAACAACCGUACGAGAAGGGAAAUGCUUCUGAUUGAUAUUGGGACAGAAUCUGCUGAACGAAAGGAUACAAUGCACAAGCAGUCAAUCGCACUGUUUGAGUUUUUGAAAAAAUGCAUGCCAGUCAAGAUUGGAUAUGUUGUAAAUGAUGAUGAAUACUGUGUUAUACCCUUUUAUUUUCCUUUUAAAUUCAAAGAAAGCAAUGAACAACUCACUAAUCAUCUAAGCAACGAAAGAGAAAAAAGAAUAGAAAAAAACGUCUAUUAACAAGUUAACCAAAAACACUAAAAUACUACGUAUAGCAAUUUCAAUCUUCUCGCUAUGUCCUACAGACAACCAACUCAUGGUUACGUAUAACUAUACUAAAGCAGUGGUACUCCAUCCUUAUGCAACAAUUCUACAAAUGGAAAUUUUACAAGACACAGAUUUUAACGUACUUUUAAAGUAUCUUACCUUUAUUUAGAUACGCUUAAAAUCUCUAACCUUUUUUAUCAUCCUUUUUCUUUACCAAACUGGUUUACUUGUUUCUUUCCUUGGCAAAAACCGAGCUACGCAAUGAUCGGCAAAGUAAAUAUCCAUUUUCACCGACAAGAUAUGGUACUCACUAAGUAAUUUCCAUUAUGUAGCAACAAUAACUCUUCCUAUACAUUUUUGUUGCCUACAAUCCCAUAGACUAUGUCACGUUGCACUCUUCCAAAAAGGACUACCCCAGAAAGAGAGAGAGAUAUGAGGAAAAAAAUUUUUGCUUCUAAAUAACUAGAGCAAACAAGUCCCACUGUUGUCAAUCGUCGGGUACAGCACAAUAAUCUCACUAGUAAAAACAUGCCAUAUUCAUCUCUGUUUUACCAAAAUAGAAAAUCAACCUUACAUUGCAUAAUAUAGGAAUACGGAAGCGAGCCCUAUACAGAUGGACUGGGUUAUGGCGGUUAUAGACAAAGGCGCUUUCAAAACCAUAAUGGAUUUGAAACGCUCAAGUAGUGGAAAACACAUAAUAGUAAGUAUAAUGCCAAAUCCUUUGUAGAAAAUACACAGACCUUUUUAUUGAAAUCGUGAAUAUGAUUCUUUUUUUUUUGGUGAUCUCUUUUCUUAUUAAUG